AGCGAACGCUGGCGGCAGGCCUAACACAUGCAAGUCGAACGAACCUUUCGGGGUUAGUGGCGGACGGGGGAGUAACACGUGGGAACGUGCCUUUAGGUUCGGAAUAACUCAGGGAAACUUGUGCUAAUACCGAAUGUGCCCUUCGGGGGAAAGAUUUAUCGCCUUUAGAGCGGCCCGCGUCUGAUUAGCUAGUUGGUUGAGGUAAUGGCUCACCAAGGCGACGAUCAGUAGCUGGUCUGAGAGGAUGAUCAGCCACAUUGGGACUGAGACACGGCCCAAACUCCUACGGGAGGCAGCAGUGGGGAAUCUUGCGCAAUGGGCGAAAGCCUGACGCAGCCAUGCCGCGUGAAUGAUGAAGGUCUUAGGAUUGUAAAAUUCUUUCACCGGGGACGAUAAUGACGGUACCCGGAGAAGAAGCCCCGGCUAACUUCGUG
rnacentral:rRNA from 1 species